AUUGAACGCUGGCGGAAUGCUUUACACAUGCAAGUCGAACGGCAGCACGGGGGCGACCCUGGUGGCGAGUGGCGAACGGGUGAGUAAUACAUCGGAACGUGCCCAGUCGUGGGGGAUAACGUAGCGAAAGUUACGCUAAUACCGCAUACGAUCUACGGAUGAAAGCGGGGGACCGUAAGGCCUCGCGCGAUUGGAGCGGCCGAUGUCAGAUUGGGUAGUUGGUGAGGUAAAGGCUCACCAAGCCGACGAUCUGUAGCUGGUCUGAGAGGACGAACAGCAACACUGGGACUGAGACACGGCCGAGACUCCUCCGGGAGGCAGCAGUGGGGAAUUUUGGACAAUGGGCGCAAGCCUGAUCCAGCCAUUCGGCGUGCAGGACGAAGGCCUUCGGGUUGUAAACUGCUUUUGUACGGAACGAAAAGGCUCUGGUUAAUACCUGGGGCUCAUGACGGUACCGUAAGAAUAAGCACCGGCUAACUACGUGCCAGCCGCCGCAGUAA
rnacentral:rRNA from 1 species